rnacentral:lncRNA from 1 species
AUGAGCAGGAGGCGCGAGACACAAAAGCGGGGCCGGAGGGGAGGUGACGCCCGCUCAGCCCCCGCGCGACGCGGGGCGCGCGGCCAUCCACGCCGCCGGGGCAGCCGCCGCCGCCAAACUUUUGCGAGACUGGCUCUCCGCGGGUGCCCGGGCCCCGGAGGGGGCCCUCCGCAUACUUCUGAGCGGGCUGUCCGCGCGCCGGGCCCCGCACGCCGCCUGCCUUUUCCCUCCUCCCCACUUUUUGGCCCGGCUGUCCCUGGAGUCCCGCCCCGGCCGCUCCCCGCCCCCUCGCGGCGGCUCCCACUGCGCGACUUUGUUGCCACCAAAAGGAGGGGGUGCGCGCCCAACAAAGGGACCCGGGCUCCAGGCGGCCCCUCAGCGCGCGGCCCAGGGUGGGUGGAUGGGUGGGGGCCGGCCGCCCCGGCGGGUUUGGGGGACAGCGGACCGGUGUCACUGAUGAGGCUCCCGAGCCUCGGCAGCCGCCGCCGCCUCCCACCCAACUUACGUGUCACCCACGGCCCCGCUAUUCUGGCCAACGGGAUUCCGGGAGGAAGUCCCACUCGGGCUCCCCGCUCAUUGGGCCCGUCCGAGCCGCCGCUCCCUCCCUUCGGGGAGGCACUGCCGGGCUUGAUUGGACGUCUGCGUUGUCCGUCCGGCCCCGGGCCGCGCCUUCCCUCCCCCCGCGGGCGCCGGCUGGGGGCUCCGUGGCCGCGCGACCGCCUGGUGCCCGGGGCGCCCACGUGGAGUGCGGGUGGUGGGGAGAGGCGGCGGAGCGAGGGCCGGGGAGGUUGGAGUGCACUGGGGACGUGUCUCGGCUUGCAGCUGGGCGAGAUGCUGCGGACACACGGGAUAGCUACAUCGUGGGCGCAGUCUUCGCAGUAGAACCAGAGAUGCCUUGCCCGCUGAGUCUUGCCCCAUCCAGCGUACUAGGGUGGAUGCGUGUGUGCCCACAGAUGGCAGGACGCGAGUCAGGACUCGAGCAUGCUAGCACGCUAGACUUACCGCUCAACUGCCCGCGUGGAUUGGGGAAAUCAGUUUGCCUUUGGCAGAGAGGAAAGAAAUGAUCUCAUAUUUUUUCCCUGGCUGCAAAGAGAAUAAUUUAAAAAGAAGUCUUACAGGCUGAAAUGAGCAUGCAUUCAUUUUGUCAUACGUAUUGUUUCAUUGGUCGCAAAAGUACGUCAGUUACAUUGCUAAAUUACAUUUUAAAGUCCAGCAAAGAUUCCCUAUGUAAAAACAAGUAAACAAACGUAAUAUCCACAAAUGUCUUCAAAGAAAAUCUGUAGUGCUUUUGUUCUUUCUGUGUACUUGAGGGGGGAAAAUUGAGGUUAUGCAUAAAUCAUCAUUUUAUUUCUGCCCUUGACCUGAAUUCUCAGAAAGUAAAUUUAAUUUCUCAGAUGCCUCAGUAGUGUGGAAUUUAUUACAUACUCCAUAAUUUUAAUGAUAUAGCAACUGGAUUUUAGUCAUCACUAUCACUAAUGGCCAGUGAGUGCUCAAAAUGAGGGUAGAGCUGUUUAGCCAAGUACAAACAAGGCAGUCCCUGAUGCAGAUUUUUUUUUUUUUUUAAGGAAGAUUAGCCCUGAGCUAACUGCUGCCAAUCCUCCUCUUUUCGCUGAGGAAGACUGGCCCUGUGCUAACAUCCAUGCCCAUCUUCCUCUACUUUAUAUGUGGGACGCCUACCACAGCAUGGCGUGCCAAGUGGUGCCAUGUCGGCACCCCAGAUCCAAACCAGCGAACCCAGCCCCCGAAGUGGAACAUGGGAACUUAACCCCUGCAACGAAGGGCCAGCCCCUGAUGCAGAAUUUUUUCAAGUGGACUCUGAAAUUAAAGGAUGCUAAAAACCGUAAAGUAAGUUGAAUUUACAGCCUGUGACAUUUAUACUGCGGUGAAAACUAAGUGUGCCUGGCAUGUGCUUUUCCCUAAUAAAUAAUAAUUUACAUUAUAUUGCUCA